AUUGAACGCUGGCGGCAUGCUUUACACAUGCAAGUCGGACGGCAGCACAGAGAAGCUUGCUUCUUGGGUGGCGAGUGGCGAACGGGUGAGUAACAUAUCGGAACGUACCGAGCAGUGGGGGAUAACUAAUCGAAAGAUUAGCUAAUACCGCAUAUCUUCUGAGGAAGAAAGCAGGGGACCAUUUGGCCUUGCGCUGUUUGAGCGGCCGAUAUCUGAUUAGCUAGUUGGUGGGGUAAAGGCCUACCAAGGCGACGAUCAGUAGCGGGUCUGAGAGGAUGAUCCGCCACACUGGGACUGAGACACGGCCCAGACUCCUACGGGAGGCAGCAGUGGGGAAUUUUGGACAAUGGGCGCAAGCCUGAUCCAGCCAUGCCGCGUGUCUGAAGAAGGCCUUCGGGUUGUAAAGGACUUUUGUCAGGGAAGAAAAGGGCGGGGUUAAUACCCCUGUCUGAUGACGGUACCUGAAGAAUAAGCACCGGCUAACUACGU
rnacentral:rRNA from 1 species